CCUACGGGCGGCUGCAGUGGGGAAUAUUGGACAAUGGGGGGAACCCUGAUCCAGCCAUGCCGCGUGUGUGAAGAAGGCCCUCGGGUUGUAAAGCACUUUCAGUGAGGAAGAACGCCUGGUGGUUAAUACCCAUCAGGAAAGACAUCACUCACAGAAGAAGCACCGGCUAACUCCGUGCCAGCAGCCGCGGUAAUACGGAGGGUGCGAGCGUUAAUCGGAAUUACUGGGCGUAAAGCGCGCGUAGGUGGCUUGAUAAGCCGGUUGUGAAAGCCCCGGGCUCAACCUGGGAACGGCAUCCGGAACUGUCAAGCUAGAGUGCAGGAGAGGAAGGUAGAAUUCCCGGUGUAGCGGUGAAAUGCGUAGAGAUCGGGAGGAAUACCAGUGGAGAAGGCGGCCUUCUGGACUGACACUGACACUGAGGUGCGAAAGCGUGGGUAGCAAACAGGAUUAGAUACCCUUGUAGUC
rnacentral:rRNA from 1 species